rnacentral:lncRNA from 1 species
GAGGCAUCUCAUGGGAGUUGGAAACUGAAGCACGGUAGAGAAAUUCAUCAUGGGAGGGAGGAGCUGAAAACCUGAGGAAAUAGAAGCAUUCCAUGAGGCCAGCAUUAACCUAACAUCGACACCAGAUAAAGACAUUUCAAGAAAGAAAAACCAUUCUAUCCACUACAUCCAUAUCCAUGAAAAUAAAUAAGAAAUAAAUAAAUAAAGGAGA